rnacentral:lncRNA from 1 species
AAUGCUUUGGUUGCCAAAGCUUCCUUUCGAUCAUUGCUUUACUGUUGCUGCAUUGACAAUGAGAAGGCUUGAAACAAACUAGCAAUAGACGGAUCCAUGUGCAUACCUUGUCCUUUAGAAGACUCCCCCCCAGAAACUUCUCCCAAAAAUCCUUCAAAAUUUUUAUUUUCGUUUUCCAUAAAAAUAAAGAUAAAAUCAACCGAAAUCCAAUACCUUCUACCUCAAGCUUUCACGUCGGGUUCACCACUUAUGUCGUAUUACGUGCUUUCCAUCUCGAGAACGCGCCAGGCGUCUGGUUGUACAAGGUAGUAUGGAGAUUCGCCAAUAGUCAAGCAGUCUAUCAGUUUUUGACUGCUGGAAUAUAAACGACUGCAACAAUGUACUGUCAAUCUAUAGGGGUGCUCUUCGACUGCUUGUCGAAGUCCUUUUUGCCCCAGCCGGUAGGUCUCUAGACGUUACAGAGAACCCCGUACAACCCAAACUUUUAACCUUCAAUACUGCUUUGUACUUACGAUCUUGUAUCCACUGACUGUCUUGUUAGAUUAACCCAAUAAAUUUCAUUCACUCUGCAUACUCAAUCCUAUAGACACCUUUUUAAUCCUUCAAUCAUAGACGUAACUCGAUUUCACAAAACAGUCAAGAGUAUUCAAACCCACUUCAUUUAAAAAUCCCGAUUCACCAUUACAACACUGACUUUAGCAGCGAUUGCCUUAGUCUUC